GCCCGCCCAGCGCGAGGCAGGGGGCGGUUUGGGCGGGAAACUCUUCUGAGGAAAAGGUGCCGCUGCCGCGGCUGCCGUCCUAAUUUGGAAGAAGCAGAAACACCCCGCGAGUGAGCGCGAGGUGGGCUUCCAAGAGCCUAUGAAGCAAGGGAUAUCCAGCACACACCCCUCCUCUAGAUCUUGCUGAACUCUAGUUCCCAUCUUCCCUGGCCAUUAGCUGUGCUGGCUUCUUGUGAGUCCAAUAACAUCUGGAAUGGCUACUUCUGUGUGAAAGCAGAAAUGAGGAACCCACGGCCCUCCAGAUGUUGCUGGACUACAGCUCCCUUCAUCCCUGGCCAAGUCCCAUCAGUCCCAGAUAGCAUAUUCAGUGGAGUCUAACAUCAUCCAGUGGUCACCUGAUUCUCCAUAUCCAAUUCACACAUUAGUCUGAGGCCAAUGGAACUUAUGUGUUUCCAGCUAAAGGGCUUAAGAAGCAACCAUGGAAUUAUACUUGAUUGAAAAUUGUGGGUAGUAGCUAUCUGAAUUAACUGGUAGCACAUUCAAUAACAUGUGUUUAUUAUGUAUUUUCCCAUGGGAUUGCAUUGACCUAUGAAUACAUGAGAAACAUCAUACUUUGGGAUAUAUUUAUUCUGAGCUAUUAGCCCAAGCAGAUUUGUCUGCUCCCCUGCCUAUCCCCCCUUUAGGGCAACAGCACUGCAGAGUCACUGUUCUCAUAUUUUAAGAGACUACAUUUAGUCUCUUCUAAUAUGUAAUCAAUUUGUAAUUGUCUAGGUCAUUUUGAGUUUUAAUCCAAUCCUCUUGCAGCAGCUCUUAAUUUUGCUUCUUAUGCAAGCCUGAGGGGGAGGAGCAAAAUUCAGCAGACCAGGUAGAGAGGUUGCUCGUUACCUUUGCUUCACCUGAUCUAUUAACCACGCUCUUCAUCCUACUGCAUAUCUCUUGCAUAAUGCAUUAGCAAAUCAUAAGUCUUUGCAAGAUCAAGCCCAAAGAGUUUCUGCGUGGCCUGUUGUUCCAGUUUGACUUAAUUGAUGAAAAAACAUACCUUUCUUUAAAUGGGUGUAACUUUGCAUGUGAAGAGCCCUUCAGCAAAAGUAAUCAUAAUAAUAAUAAGGUACAAAAUAAACUUGGACUGAAGAGGGAGUACAAUGAAGAAUACAGUUCUUAAUGCAACCAUAAGCAGCCCACAGAGUUACCAUAGAUUCCACUUAUGUCAUUAAAUGUAACCUUACUAUACAAUGGGCCUGUGGUCGUAGACUGAAGCUGCACACUGAAUUCUUACCCUGUUAGCCAUGAUACUUAAGAACAGCAUAAGAAAUAAUAUCCCAAUAAGGACCAAGAUACAGGAGUGAAUAUAACCAAAUAAAAAAUGCCCAUUUUAUUAUUCCUGGCUUCUUAGCAGCUAACUUUUUAUGUUUCAACAGCAAAAGAGGAUAUACAAUAUUUGCAAAAGACGGGUAAAGUGGUGUUGGUGGUAGUUUAAACAUUAAAUAUUAAACUACCUUAUAUAUACUCCCAUUUUCAGUGCUCUACAAAUAUUGAAAAUAUCAUGUAUUUAAUAAGAGAAAUAUUAACACACAGACUUGAUACUGUUGGGAAUGCUGAUAUCCUCAUAAUAGCAGUAAGAUGAAAGAAAAACUAGCAUUCAACGUCCAUAUAUUUAAUAUACGAUUCUCCCAUUUUGUAAAUUAAAGUGUUUGCAAUAUAUUUAAUAUUAAUAUUUAAUUGGUAUUUUUUCUGUAAACAAACGUGUAUGUAUGUAGCAAAACCAAUAUUGCUAAUAAACAUUUAUGUAAAUAAUUAACUACAUGUUACCAAUAAUCAGACUUUGAUUUUUAAGGCUUUAAGAGGUGUUUUUUUUAAUGUUGCCCAGGGCCUUGUGGGCUGAACCUCCCUGGCAUAGAACAUUCAGUGUGUGAUUUAAGGAACUGAAAGACUCUGAAUGGUUGGCAGUUCUAAUAAAUGGGAGUUGGUAGUCAGUGAGGAAGACCAUUGAGAUUUGACAGCUGAGGGGGAAAGUAGUUCUGAAUGAGUUUUCUCCUGACCUCAGACGACUUCCGUUUGACUUCCAAAAUGUUCAGAAACCAAAGCGUGGCUUCUGAUUAGCUGCAGGAAGC